rnacentral:rRNA from 1 species
UACAGAGGGUGCGAGCGUUAAUCGGAAUUACUGGGCGUAAAGCGUGCGUAGACGGUUAUUUAAGUCGGAUGUGAAAGCCCCGGGCUCAACCUGGGAAUUGCAUUCGAGACUGAAUAGCUAGGGUACGGUAGAGGGAAGCGGAAUUUCCGGUGUAGCGGUGAAAUGCGUAGAUAUCGGAAGGAACAUCGAGUGGCGAAAGCGGCUUCCUGGACC